GGGAAGCAGUGUGGUUUUGGCAGUUUCUUAGCUGGAGGUGGUCCAGUCUUCGCCUGGCUUGGAGAAGUGAUGGCUGUGGUUUUUGGUGCUGGACUUGUCCUGCCCAGGGUUCAGCACUGCUGUGAAGUCUCCCCUGAGCGCCUAUGGGCAAGGCCACCGCUUACAGCGAGCUGUCCUGGAUCGGGACUCCUUCUGCAUCACCCACCCUUGCCGGGAGAGAUCCCAACCAUCUGCGUGGGCAAAGAAACCCUCUGAUGUGCCAUUGAUUGAAGAAAUUUUGAGGCCUGAGCCAUCAGCUUUUAAAAAGCGGCACCUUGACAACCUCGUGAGGACCUGGACCUGCCUGCCACAGAUAACUCUG